GGAGGAAAAGAAACCAACAGGGAUUGCCUUAGUAACGGCGAGUGAAGCGGCAAAAGCUCAAAUUUGAAAUCUGGCACCUUCGGUGUCCGAGUUGUAAUUUGAAGAAGGUAACUUUGGAGUUGGCUCUUGUCUAUGUUCCUUGGAACAGGACGUCACAGAGGGUGAGAAUCCCGUGCGAUGAGAUGCCCAAUUCUAUGUAAAGUGCUUUCGAAGAGUCGAGUUGUUUGGGAAUGCAGCUCUAAGUGGGUGGUAAAUUCCAUCUAAAGCUAAAUAUUGGCGAGAGACCGAUAGCGAACAAGUACAGUGAUGGAAAGAUGAAAAGAACUUUGAAAAGAGAGUGAAAAAGUACGUGAAAUUGUUGAAAGGGAAGGGCUUGAGAUCAGACUUGGUAUUUUGCGAUCCUUUCCUUCUUGGUUGGGUUCCUCGCAGCUUACUGGGCCAGCAUCGGUUUGGAUGGUAGGAUAAUGACUAAGGAAUGUGGCUCUACUUCGGUGGAGUGUUAUAGCCUUGGUUGAUACUGCCUGUCUAGACCGAGGACUGCGUCUUUUGACUAGGAUGUUG
rnacentral:rRNA from 1 species